GAUGAACGCUGGCGGCGUGCCUAAUACAUGCAAGUCGAGCGAAUGGAUUAAGAGCUUGCUCUUAUGAAGUUAGCGGCGGACGGGUGAGUAACACGUUGGUAACCUGCCCAUAAGACUGGGAUAACUCCGGGAAACCGGGGCUAAUACCGGAUAACAUUUUGAACCGCAUGGUUCGAAAUUGAAAGGCGGCUUCGGCUGUCACUUAUGGAUGGACCCGCGUCGCAUUAGCUAGUUGGUGAGGUAACGGCUCACCAAGGCAACGAUGCGUAGCCGACCUGAGAGGGUGAUCGGCCACACUGGGACUGAGACACGGCCCAGACUCCUACGGGAGGCAGCAGUAGGGAAUCUUCCGCAAUGGACGAAAGUCUGACGGAGCAACGCCGCGUGAGUGAUGAAGGCUUUCGGGUCGUAAAACUCUGUUGUUAGGGAAGAACAAGUGCUAGUUGAAUAAGCUGACACCUUGACGGUACCUAACCAGAAAGCUACGGCUAACUACGUGCCAGCCGCCGCGGUAA
rnacentral:rRNA from 1 species